rnacentral:rRNA from 1 species
GCUUGCACUCGGUUGAGAAGAGUCUCAUCCGGUAGAGCGAAUGAUUAGAGGCAUUGGGGUCGAAACGACCUCAACCUAUUCUCAAACUCCAAAUAGAUGAGAUGCCCCGGCUUUCUUAAAAGUGAAGCCGUGGGAUGGUAAGCAGAACUGGCGCUGUGG